GCACCCGUAGCUCAGUUGGAUAGAGCAGCGCCCUUCUAAGGCGAAGGUCAGUGGUUCAAAUCCACUCGGGUGCACCA
rnacentral:tRNA from 3 species